rnacentral:snRNA from 1 species
UCAACUUGUCCUAAACAUUCACAAAUAAAUUUCUGUUCUUAUCAGCUUAGUAUGUGAUACGGGUCCUAUUUGGACCCAAGAUAAUAAACUUAUUUUUGGAAUGGGGCGGAGUGCUUGAAGCUUGCUUCACCUCCGCCAUGGGUUGGCCCGGUAUUGCACUAUCUCCGGGAUCGGCCCACUCACC